rnacentral:rRNA from 1 species
CCUACGGGUGGCAGCAGUGGGGAAUAUUGCGCAAUGGGCGCAAGCCUGACGCAGCGACGCCGCGUGAGGGAUGAAGGUCUUCGGAUCGUAAACCUCUGUCAGCAGGGGAGAACGGUCACUUUGCUAAUCCGCAGUGAAUUGACGGUACCUGCAAAGGAAGCACCGGCUAACUCCGGGCCAGCAGCCGAGGGAGUACGGAGGGUGCGAGCGUUAAUCGGAAUUAAUGGGCGUAAAGCGCUCGUAGGCGGGCUUUUAAGUCAGCGGUAAAAAUUCGGGGCUCAACCCCGUCCGGCCGUUGAAACUGGGGGCCUUGAGUGGGCGAGAGGAAGGCGGAAUGCGUGGUGUAGCGGUGAAAUGCAUAGAUAUCACGCAGAACCCCGAUUGCGAAGGCAGCUUUCCGGCGCCCUACUGACGCUGAGGCACGAAAGUGCGGGGAUCGAACAGGAUUAGAUACCCGGGUAGUC